rnacentral:tRNA from 3 species
AGGGGUAUAGUUCAGUCGGUAGAACGUUGGUCUCCAAAACCAAAUGUCGAGGGUUCGAGUCCUUCUGCCCCUGCCA